AUUGAACGCUGGCGGCAUGCUUUACACAUGCAAGUCGAACGGUAACAGGUUAAGCUGACGAGUGGCGAACGGGUGAGUAAUGCAUCGGAACGUGCCCGGUCGUGGGGGAUAACGCAGCGAAAGCUGCGCUAAUACCGCAUACGAUCUGAGGAUGAAAGCGGGGGACCGUAAGGCCUCGCGCGAUCGGAGCGGCCGAUGUCAGAUUAGGGAGUUGGUGGGGUAAAGGCUCACCAAGACAACGAUCUGUAGCUGGUCUGAGAGGACGACCAGCCACACUGGGACGGAGAAACGGCCCAGACUCCUACGGGAGGCAGCAGUGGGGAAUUUUGGACAAUGGGCGAAAGCCUGAACCAGCAAUGCCGCGUGCAGGAAGAAGGCCUUCGGGUUGUAAACUGCUUUUGUACGGAGCGAAAAGGUCUCCUCUAAUACAGGGGGCUCAUGACGGUACCGUAAGAAUAAGCACCGGCUAACUACGUGCCAGCCGCCGCAGUAA
rnacentral:rRNA from 1 species